rnacentral:rRNA from 1 species
AUUGAACGCUGGCGGAAUGCUUUACACAUGCAAGUCGAACGGCAGCACGGACUUCGGUCUGGUGGCGAGUGGCGAACGGGUGAGUAACAUAUCGGAACGUAUCCAAUAAUGGGGGAUGACUAAUCGAAAGGUUGGCUAAUACCGCAUACGCCCUACGGGGGAAAGCAGGGGAUCUUCGGACCUUGCGUUAAUGGAGCGGCUGAUAUCUGAUUAGCUAGUUGGUGAGGUAAAGGCUCACCAAGGCGACGAUCAGUAGCUGGUCUGAGAGGACGACCAGCCACACUGGAACUGAGACACGGUCCAGACUCCUACGGGAGGCAGCAGUGGGGAAUUUUGGACAAUGGGCGCAAGCCUGAUCCAGCCAUUCCGCGUGAGUGAAGAAGGCCUUCGGGUUGUAAAGCUCUUUCGCAAGGGAAGAAAACUUACUUUCUAAUAAAGAGUGAGGUUGACGGUACCUUGAUAAGAAGCACCGGCUAACUACGUGCCAGCCGCCGCGGUAA